rnacentral:rRNA from 1 species
UGUGAACUCGAAGAGUAGGGCGGGACACGUGGUAUCCUGUCUGAAUAUGGGGGGACCAUCCUCCAAGGCUAAAUACUCCUGACUGACCGAUAGUGAACCAGUACCGUGAGGGAAAGGCGAAAAGAACCCCGGCGAGGGGAGUGAAAAAGAACCUGAAACCGUGUACGUACAAGCAGUGGGAGCACCUUCGGGUGUGACUGCGUACCUUUUGUAUAAUGGGUCAGCGACUUAUAUUCUGUAGCAAGGUUAACCGUAUAGGGGAGCCGCAGGGAAACCGAGUCUUAACUGGGCGUUAAGUUGCAGGGUAUAGACCCGAAACCCGGUGAUCUAGCCAUGGGCAGGUUGAAGGUUGGGUAACACUAACUGGAGGACCGAACCGACUAAUGUUGAAAAAUUAGCGGAUGACUUGUGGCUGGGGGUGAAAGGCCAAUCAAACCGGGAGAUAGCUGGUUCUCCCCGAAAGCUAUUUAGGUAGCGCCUCGUGAACUCAUCUUCGGGGGUAGAGCACUGUUUCGGCUAGGGGGUCAUCCCGACUUACCAACCCGAUGCAAACUACGAAUACCGAAGAAUGUUAUCACGGGAGACACACGGCGGGUGCUAACGUCCGUCGUGAAGAGGGAAACAACCCAGACCGCCAGCUAAGGUCCCAAAGUCAUGGUUAAGUGGGAAACGAUGUGGGAAGGCACAGACAGCCAGGAUGUUGGCUUAGAAGCAGCCAUCAUUUAAAGAAAGCGUAAUAGCUCACUGGUCGAGUCGGCCUGCGCGGAAGAUGUAACGGGGCUAAACCAUGCACCGAAGCUGCGGCAGCGACACUAUGUGUUGUUGGGUAGGGGAGCGUUCUGUAAGCCUGCGAAGGUGACCUGUGAGGGUUGCUGGAGGUAUCAGAAGUGCGAAUGCUGACAUAAGUAACGAUAAAGCGGGUGAAAAGCCCGCUCGCCGGAAGACCAAGGGUUCCUGUCCAACGUUAAUCGGGGCAGGGUGAGUCGACCCCUAAGGCGAGGCCGAAAGGCGUAGUCGAUGGGAAACAGGUUAAUAUUCCUGUACUUGGUGUUACUGCGAAGGGGGGACGGAGAAGGCUAUGUUAGCCGGGCGACGGUUGUCCCGGUUUAAGCAUGUAGGCUGGUUAUCCAGGCAAAUCCGGAUAAUCAAGGCUGAGGUGUGAUGACGAGGCACUACGGUGCUGAAGUAACAAAUGCCCUGCUUCCAGGAAAAGCCUCUAAGCAUCAGGUAACAUCAAAUCGUACCCCAAACCGACACAGGUGGUCAGGUAGAGAAUACCAAGGCGCUUGAGAGAACUCGGGUGAAGGAACUAGGCAAAAUGGUGCCGUAACUUCGGGAGAAGGCACGCUGGUGUGUAGGUGAAGCCCCUGCGGGUGGAGCUGAGACCAGUCGAAGAUACCAGCUGGCUGCAACUGUUUAUUAAAAACACAGCACUGUGCAAACACGAAAGUGGACGUAUACGGUGUGACGCCUGCCCGGUGCCGGAAGGUUAAUUGAUGGGGUUAUCCGUAAGGAGAAGCUCUUGAUCGAAGCCCCGGUAAACGGCGGCCGUAACUAUAACGGUCCUAAGGUAGCGAAAUUCCUUGUCGGGUAAGUUCCGACCUGCACGAAUGGCGUAAUGAUGGCCAGGCUGUCUCCACCCGAGACUCAGUGAAAUUGAACUCGCUGUGAAGAUGCAGUGUACCCGCGGCAAGACGGAAAGACCCCGUGAACCUUUACUAUAGCUUGACACUGAACAUUGAGCCUUGAUGUGUAGGAUAGGUGGGAGGCUUUGAAGCGUGGACGCCAGUCUGCGUGGAGCCAACCUUGAAAUACCACCCUUUAAUGUUUGAUGUUCUAACGUUGGCCCCUUACCGGGGUUGCGGACAGUGUCUGGUGGGUAGUUUGACUGGGGCGGUCUCCUCCCAAAGCGUAACGGAGGAGCACGAAGGUUAGCUAAUCCUGGUCGGACAUCAGGAGGUUAGUGCAAUGGCAUAAGCUAGCUUGACUGCGAGCGUGACGGCGCGAGCAGGUGCGAAAGCAGGUCAUAGUGAUCCGGUGGUUCUGAAUGGAAGGGCCAUCGCUCAACGGAUAAAAGGUACUCCGGGGAUAACAGGCUGAUACCGCCCAAGAGUUCAUAUCGACGGCGGUGUUUGGCACCUCGAUGUCGGCUCAUCACAUCCUGGGGCUGAAGUAGGUCCCAAGGGUAUGGCUGUUCGCCAUUUAAAGUGGUACGCGAGCUGGGUUUAGAACGUCGUGAGACAGUUCGGUCCCUAUCUGCCGUGGGCGCUGGAGAAUUGAGGGGGGCUGCUCCUAGUACGAGAGGACCGGAGUGGACGCAUCACUGGUGUUCGGGUUGUCAUGCCAAUGGCACUGCCCGGUAGCUAAAUGCGGAAGAGAUAAGUGCUGAAAGCAUCUAAGCACGAAACUUGCCCCGAGAUGAGUUCUCCCUGAGACUUUAAGUCUCCUGAAGGAACGUU